AUACGGAGGGAGCGAGCGUUAAUCGGAAUUACUGGGCGUAAAGCGCGCGUAGGCGGCUUUGUAAGUCGGAUGUGAAAGCCCUGGGCUCAACCUGGGAAUUGCAGUCGAAACUGCUUAACUAGAGUAUGGUAGAGGGAAGUGGAAUUUCCGGUGUAGCGGUGAAAUGCGUAGAUAUCGGAAGGAACACCAGUGGCGAAGGCGACUUCCUGGGCCAAUACUGACGCUGAGGUGCGAAAGCGUGGGGAGCAAACAGGAUUAGAAACCCCAGUAGUCC
rnacentral:rRNA from 1 species